GACGAACGCUGGCGGCGUGCUUAAUACAUGCAAGUCGAACGGAAAGGCGCUGCUCUUGCGGGGCGCUCGAGUGGCGCACGGGUGAGUAACACGCGAGUAACCUGCCCUUGUCUUUGGGAUAUCUUUAGGAAACUGGGGCUAAAACCGGAUAUGAUCUCCUGCUGCACGGUGGGGGUUGGAAAGUUUCGGCGGUUGGGGAUGGACUCGCGGCUUAUCAGCUUGUUGGUGGGGUAGUGGCUUACCAAGGCUUUGACGGGUAGCCGGCCUGAGAGGGUGACCGGCCACAUUGGGACUGAGAUACGGCCCAGACUCCUACGGGAGGCAGCAGUGGGGAAUAUUGCACAAUGGGCGGAAGCCUGAUGCAGCAACGCCGCGUGCGGGAUGACGGCCUUCGGGUUGUAAACCGCUUUCGCCUGUGACGAAGCGUGAGUGACGGUAAUGGGUAAAGAAGCACCGGCUAACUACGUG
rnacentral:rRNA from 1 species